rnacentral:rRNA from 1 species
UUGGACAGCCUUCUGAAAGGAAGAUUAAUACAAGAUGGCAUCAUGAGUCCGCAUGUUCACAUGAUUAAAGGUAUUCCGGUAGACGAUGGGGAUGCGUUCCAUUAGAUAGUAGGCGGGGUAACGGCCCACCUAGUCUUCGAUGGAUAGGGGUUCUGAGAGGAAGGUCCCCCACAUUGGAACUGAGACACGGUCCAAACUCCUACGGGAGGCAGCAGUGAGGAAUAUUGGUCAAUGGGCGAGAGUCUGAACCAGCCAAGUAGCGUGAAGGAUGACUGCCCUAUGGGUUGUAAACUUCUUUUAUAAAGGAAUAAAGUCGGGUAUGGAUACCCGUUUGCAUGUACUUUAUGAAUAAGGAUCGGCUAACUCCGUGCCAGCAGCCGCGGUAAUACGGAGGAUCCGAGCGUUAUCCGGAUUUAUUGGGUUUAAAGGGAGCGUA